AUUGAACGCUGGCGGCAGGCCUAACACAUGCAAGUCGAGCGGCAGCGGGAAAGUAGCUUGCUACUUUUGCCGGCGAGCGGCGGACGGGUGAGUAAUGCCUGGGAAAUUGCCCAGUCGAGGGGGAUAACAGUUGGAAACGACUGCUAAUACCGCAUACGCCCUACGGGGGAAAGCAGGGGACCUUCGGGCCUUGCGCGAUUGGAUAUGCCCAGGUGGGAUUAGCUAGUUGGUGAGGUAAUGGCUCACCAAGGCGACGAUCCCUAGCUGGUCUGAGGGGAUGAUCAGCCAGACUAGAACUGAGACACGGUCCAGACUCCUACGGGAGGCGGCGGUGGGGAAUAUUGCACAAUGGGGGAAACCCUGAUGCAGCCAUGCCGCGUGUGUGAAGAAGGCCUUCGGGUUGUAAAGCACUUUCAGCGAGGAGGAAAGGUUGAUGCCUAAUACGUAUCAACUGUGACGUUACUCGCAGAAGAAGCACCGGCUAACUCCGUGCCAGCCGCCGCAGUAACAC
rnacentral:rRNA from 1 species